rnacentral:tRNA from 1 species
GCCAAUGUAGCUCAGUUGGUAGAGCAGCGCAUUCGUAAUGCGCAGGUCCAGGGUUCGAGUCCCUGCAUUGGCUCCA